rnacentral:rRNA from 1 species
AUGCCUGUCAUUGAGGAGUUGCUGGAUGAGUUGGCAGGAGCCAAAUGGUUCACUAGUUUGGAUCUAAGGGCUGGAUACCAUCAGAUCCGCAUGGCAGCCGAAGAUGUGUUCAAAACAGCCUUCAAGACUCACCUCGGCCAUUACGAAUUCAAGGUCAUGCCUUAUGGAUUGUCUGAGGCCCUGGGCACGUUCCAAGGAGUCAUGAAUUUUGUGUUGGCAGACCUAAUUCGUCAUGGAGUGCUAGUGUUUAUUGAUGAUAUCCUAGUACACAGCUCCACCCUUGCAGAACAUAUUAACCUUCUCCGGCAAGUAUUUCAGCGGUUGGAAAAGCAUCAGCUCAAGGUGAAGAUGUCAAAGUGCACGUUCGCACAGCCACAACUCACCUACCUGGGCCACGUAAUCAGCGCCCGUGGAGUGGCUACUGAUGAGAAAAACAUCACAGCAGUCAAAGAUUGGCCGACGCCGACUGGGGUGCGACAAGUUCGCGGGUUCCUCGGGUUGGCAGGAUAUUACAGGCGUUUCGUUAGGGAUUUCGGACUUAUCAGCCGUCCUCUUACCAAUUUGCUGAAGAAAGGGGCAGUUUUUGUCUGGACCCAAGAAGCAGAAGAAGCAUUCCAGCAUCUGAAACAGUCCUUGAUCACUGCUCCUGUUUUAGCUCUCCCACGUUUCGACAAACCCUUCGAAAUCGAGACAGAUGCCUCUGACUUUGGUGUGGGUGCGGUGCUCAUGCAAGAAGGGCAUCCACUGGCUUUCCUUAGCAAGGCUCUGGGACCCAGAAAUAGAGGCCUAUCAACUUACGAGAAGGAAUUCAUGGCCAUCCUCAUGGCAGUGGACAAAUGGCGUUCUUAUUUGCAAGGGGUAGAAUUUCUAAUUCGCACAGAUCAAAGUGCUUUAGCUCAUUUGAGUGAUCAACGGCUAGUCACACCUUGGCAGCGGCGUGCUUACACAAAACUGAUGGGGCUACAGUACAAAAUUGUGUACCGCAAGGGAGUUGAGAACAGGGCUGCUGACGCCUUGUCGCGUCGGGACGCUGAAGUCACUGCCAUUACAGUGGCUACUCCUAUAUGGCUAGAAGAAGUGGUGAAAGGCUACCAGAACGAUGAAAAUGCCAGAGCGAUUCUGCAACAAUACAGCACGUCAGAAGACCCCAAUUUAAUUACAAAGGGAGAGUCUGGGUAG